GGUGCACGUGAUGUUUUUUAGCGAUCAAAGUAUGAUGGAUGAUGAUUCCAGCUUUAUGGACUGAUGUGCC